ACAUUGCUAGGAAUGUGACGGUUGGCAUCUCCCCUGACAGGGACGGGAACGGCCUUCUGUCUUACCUGUUACCGACACAUGCGGUUAAGGCUACCCGCUUUCAGCAGAUCUUAUCCAAGGUCUUCC